AUGCCGCCGCCGCAGCCGACCAACGGGGGCAAGUUGACCCCGAACCUGGCGAUGGACGCCGAGGGCACGCGCCUGCUCAACCUCACCGUCCUGCAGCGUCUCGACCCCGCCGUCGAGGACAUCCUCAUCACCGCCGCCCACGUCACCCUCUACGACUUCAACAUCGACCUCAAUCAGUGGAGCCGCAAGGACGUGGAGGGGUCGCUGUUCGUCGUGAAGAGGAACACGCAGCCGAGGUUUCAGUUUAUCGUCAUGAACAGGCGGAACACGGAUAAUCUGGUGGAGGAUUUAUUAAGUGAUUUUGAAUACGAACUUCAACCUCCAUAUUUGUUGUACCGGAAUGCUGCACAAGAAGUAAAUGGUAUUUGGUUUUACAAUCAGCAGGACUGUGAUGCUGUAGCAAAUCUUUUUGGAAGGAUACUUAAUGCUUAUGCCAGAGUACCUCCAAAAGCCAAAGUGCCCUCCACGAAAAGUGAGUUUGAGGAAUUGGAGGCUGUUCCUACGUCCGCUGCUAUAGAUGGCCCCCUUGAACCACCGCCAGCAUCCACUCUCAUUUCUGAUACUCCUGAUGAAUCACUUGCUAAUUACUUUGGUGGCGCUGCAAGCAUUACGAGUGUAUCAAGUGGGUCAAUGGUUGGAAGAGCUCAUCCAUCCACUGAAACCACUGCGGCUUCCCACACGCCAUUGAUGAUGUCUUCUGCUGCCCAGUCGCACCAAAUACCCCCUCCUUUCGGAGGUUCAUCAGCUCCACCACUGCCCCUCCAGGACACUAAUGCCCAUGCUAGCCAUUCAACAAAUCUUGUAACACCGGCAUUCUUUGCUCCUCCAUCAUCCUCUUCUGCAUCACUAGCUCCGCCGAUUUCAUCAAUGAUGCCCACAGCACCACCUCUUCAUUCAACUUCAUCAUCUACUCAACAUCCUCAGUACGGGCAUGGCACCCCUCUACUCCAACCUUUUCCACCACCUGCACCACCUCCAUCCUUCGCCCCUGCACACAACGACGGCUCUGUUAUUUCACGGGAUAAAGUUAAGGACGCCCUCCUUAGACUUGUUCAGAGUGACCAGUUCAUCGAUUUAAUUUACCGGGAGUUGCAGAAUGCACAUAUGUAG
rnacentral:rRNA from 1 species